rnacentral:tmRNA from 1 species
GGGGUUGACUGGUUUUGACAGCGUGUAGAAGUGGUAAGUAAGCAUGCAGAGCGAUGAUGGCAAUGCUCUAUAAUCUCAGACAUCAAAAUUUUAAAUGGCGAAAAUAACUACGCUCUUGCUGCUUAAUCGAAGUAUAGUAGAUUAGCUUAAUCCCUGCCAAAGUGGUAGAGACAAGACAUCACCCGAUUGCCUUGUUCCGGGGCGUUUCGAUAAGGUGGUGCAGAUAAUCCGGAAAUAGGAAAAGGUUUGCCUCGUACCUUUCCCGAGAUUUAGAGGAUAAGUUUUAGAUUGGUGGUUCUGAUCCUGUCUAAUUCCGAAAACCAAGUCAGAACUAAGCAUGUAGAAAGCUUAUUAGUUCCAUGUUUGGACGAGGGUUCAAGUCCCUCCAACUCCAC